CCCAGUGAGUAUAAACAAAGAAAACAGUUCAUUAAUUACAUGCUUUUAUGAAAUGCGUCACAGCACAAACAUUCCACAUAACAGACGGACAUGACCACCAAAACUCCCUCUGCAUAGUGCCUGGCCCAUGAAGGGACUUACCCAGGUCUUUCAUAUAUAACAUAGUGCCUGGCCCACGAAGGGACUUACCCAGGUCUUUCAUACAUAACAUGGGCUAUUGGGGUCGCCUUGGUCCAUCCACAUCCACAAUAAAUAAUGCAAUGCGUCAUAUUCGUGUAACUAGUGCAAUCAACCUAUUACAUAUAAACAUGAUGCGUGAACAUGCUUUAGGCAUUUGAUUUCGUAAAAUAAAAN
rnacentral:lncRNA from 1 species